AUUGAACGCUGGCGGCAGGCUUAACACAUGCAAGUCGAGCGGAGAGAGGUAGCUUGCUACUGAUCUUAGCGGCGGACGGGUGAGUAAUGCUUAGGAAUCUGCCUAUUAGUGGGGGACAACAUUUCGAAAGGAAUGCUAAUACCGCAUACGUCCUACGGGAGAAAGCAGGGGAUCUUCGGACCUUGCGCUAAUAGAUGAGCCUAAGUCGGAUUAGCUAGUUGGUGGGGUAAAGGCCUACCAAGGCGACGAUCUGUAGCGGGUCUGAGAGGAUGAUCCGCCACACUGGGACUGAGACACGGCCCAGACUCCUACGGGAGGUAGCAGUGGGGAAUAUUGGACAAUGGGGGGAACCCUGAUCCAGCCAUGCCGCGUGUGUGAAGAAGGCCUUAUGGUUGUAAAGCACUUUAAGCGAGGAGGAGGCUCUUUUGGUUAAUACCCAAGAUGAGUGGACGUUACUCGCAGAAUAAGCACCGGCUAACUCUGUGCCAGCCGCCGCUGUAAUAC
rnacentral:rRNA from 1 species